GACGAACGCUGGCGGCGUGCUUAACACAUGCAAGUCGAACGGAAAGGCCCUGCUUUUGUGGGGUGCUCGAGUGGCGAUCGGGUGAGUAACACGUGAGUAACCUGCCCUUGACUUUGGGAUAACUUCAGGAAACUGGGGCUAAUACCGGAUAGGAGCUCCUGCUGCAUGGUGGGGGUUGGAAAGUUUCGGCGGUUGGGGAUGGACUCGCGGCUUAUCAGCUUGUUGGUGGGGUAGUGGCUUACCAAGGCUUUCACGGGUAGCCGGCCUGAGAGGGUGACCGGCCACAUUGGGACUGAGAUACGGCCCAGACUCCUACGGGAGGCAGCAGUGGGGAAUAUUGCACAAUGGGCGGAAGCCUGAUGCAGCAACGCCGCGUGCGGGAUGACGGCCUUCGGGUUGUAAACCGCUUUCGCCUGUGACGAAGCGUGAGUGACGGUAAUGGGUAAAGAAGCACCGGCUAACUACGUG
rnacentral:rRNA from 1 species